UCUUCAUAUCAUAUGAUAGAUCUCCUCAUUCUGAACAACUUUGCCUCUGGGACUAAUGUUGUCAAUCAAAUCGUUCAUUAAAUAUUCACAAAUAAGUUAAAAACUUACUUUUGCAAACUAGUCCUAGGUUUUUCUCUUAAUCUCGAUCAAACCACUACAGAACGAUUCUCGGGACUCUCUAGAUCAAUAAUUAUCAAAAAAAAAUUUGAAUUUUGUACUUUGGUUAGCUAUAACAGCUUAAUUUAGAAAAGGGGCGUGGCCAAAAUACCCAAAAGCCUAUAAAACCUAAAUGAAAACUCAAAAACUUUACGAAACUUGGUGAAAACAUGUGUCAGAUGACUCUGAACAAGCAUGCAAAGUUUCAUGGAAAUCAAACCAUAGGUGGUGCUAUCACAGUAGAAAAGGCCUCAAAAACAAAAGAUUUAUAUGGUAAAUGGCCUCAAAUUGGUUGAAAAUGCUCAUAUAUUCACACAAACACUAGAUCUUCAUAUCAUAUGAUAGAUGUCCUCAUUCUGAACAACUUUGCC
ensembl:lncRNA